rnacentral:rRNA from 1 species
AAUGAACGCUGGCGGCAGGCCUAACACAUGCAAGUCGAACGGAUCUGAGGGUAGCUUGCUACCCGAUUUGAGAGUGGCGCACGGGUGCGUAACGCGUGAGCAACCUACCCAUAUCAGGGGGAUAGCCCGGAGAAAUUCGGAUUAACACCGCAUAAGAAUGUAUUAACACAUGUUAAAGCAUUUAAAUAUUUAUAGGAUAUGGAUGGGCUCGCGUGACAUUAGCUAGUUGGUGAGGUAACGGCUCACCAAGGCGACGAUGUCUAGGGGCUCUGAGAGGAGAAUCCCCCACACUGGUACUGAGACACGGACCAGACUCCUACGGGAGGCAGCAGUAAGGAAUAUUGGUCAAUGGGCGAAAGCCUGAACCAGCCAUGCCGCGUGCAGGAUGACUGCCCUAUGGGUUGUAAACUGCUUUUGUCGAGGAAUAAACCUAUCUACGUGUAGCUAGUUGAACGUACUCGAAGAAUAAGGAUCGGCUAACUCCGUGCCAGCAGCCGCCGUAA